GAUGAACGCUGGCGGCGUGCCUAAUACAUGCAAGUCGAGCGAACAGACGAGGAGCUUGCUCCUCUGACGUUAGCGGCGGACGGGUGAGUAACACGUGGAUAACCUACCUAUAAGACUGGGAUAACUUCGGGAAACCGGAGCUAAUACCGGAUAAUAUAUUGAACCGCAUGGUCCAAUAGUGAAAGACGGUUUUGCUGUCACUUAUAGAUGGAUCCGCGCCGCAUUAGCUAGUUGGUAAGGUAACGGCUUACCAAGGCAACGAUGCGUAGCCGACCUGAGAGGGUGAUCGGCCACACUGGAACUGAGACACGGUCCAGACUCCUGCGGGAGGCAGCAGUAGGGAAUCUUCCGCAAUGGGCGAAAGCCUGACGGAGCAACGCCGCGUGAGUGAUGAAGGUCUUCGGAUCGUAAAACUCUGUUAUUAGGGAAGAACAAAUGUGUAAGUAACUAUGCACGUCUUGACGGUACCUAAUCAGAAAGCCACGGCUAACUACGUG
rnacentral:rRNA from 1 species